AGUGAACGCUGGCGGUAGGCCUAACACAUGCAAGUCGAACGGCAGCACAGUAAGAGCUUGCUCUUACGGGUGGCGAGUGGCGGACGGGUGAGGAAUACAUCGGAAUCUACUUUUUCGUGGGGGAUAACGUAGGGAAACUUACGCUAAUACCGCAUACGACCUACGGGUGAAAGCAGGGGAUCUUCGGACCUUGCGCGAUUGAAUGAGCCGAUGUCGGAUUAGCUAGUUGGCGGGGUAAAGGCCCACCAAGGCGACGAUCCGUAGCUGGUCUGAGAGGAUGAUCAGCCACACUGGAAUUGAGACACGGUCCAGACUCCUACGGGAGGCAGCAGUGGGGAAUAUUGGACAGUGGGCGCAAGCCUGAUCCAGCCAUACCGCGUGGGUGAAGAAGGCCUUCGGGUUGUAAAGCCCUUUUGUUGGGAAAGAAAAGCAGCAGGUUAAUACCCCGCUGUUCUGACGGUACCCAAAGAAUAAGCACCGGCUAACUUCGU
rnacentral:rRNA from 1 species